rnacentral:tRNA from 1 species
AUUAAUUUAAUUUGAAUUAUUUUGGCAGAUUAGUGUAAUGAAUUUAGAAUUCAUAAAAGUAAAAUUUUUACAAGUAAUAC